UACGGAGGGUGCGAGCGUUGUCCGGAAUCACUGGGCGUAAAGGGCGCGUAGGCGGCUCAUGAAGGCUGUGGUGAAAGUCCGGGGCUCAACCUCGGAUCGGCCGUGGCGACUCGUGGGCUGGAGCACUGUAGAGGCGGGUGGAAUUCCGGGUGUAGCGGUGGAAUGCGUAGAGAUCGGGAGGAACACCAGAGGCGAAGGCGGCGACCUGGACAAGUACUGACACUCGAACUACGAAAGCGUGGGGAGCAAACAGG
rnacentral:rRNA from 1 species